rnacentral:rRNA from 1 species
UGCCCAAGAGAUCGGGAUAACACCUGGAAACAGAUGCUAAUACCGGAUAACAACAGAUGAUGCCUAUCAACUGUUUAAAAGAUGGUUCUGCUAUCACUCUUGGAUGGACCUGCGGUGCAUUAGCUAGUUGGUAGGGUAACGGCCUACCAAGGCGAUGAUGCAUAGCCGAGUUGAGAGACUGAUCGGCCACAUUGGGACUGAGACACAGCCCAAACUCCUACGGGAGGCAGCAGAC